GGGGAAUAUUGCACAAUGGGCGAAAGCCUGAUGCAGCAACGCCGCGUGAGCGAUGAAGGCCUUCGGGUCGUAAAGCUCUGUCCUCAAGGAAGAUAAUGACGGUACUUGAGGAGGAAGCCCCGGCUAACUACGUGCCAGCAGCCGCGGUAAUACGUAGGGGGCUAGCGUUAUCCGGAAUUACUGGGCGUAAAGGGUGCGUAGGUGGUUUUUUAAGUCAGAAGUGAAAGGCUACGGCUCAACCGUAGUAAGCUUUUGAAACUAGAGAACUUGAGUGCAGGAGAGGAGAGUAGAAUUCCUAGUGUAGCGGUGAAAUGCGUAGAUAUUAGGAGGAAUACCAGUAGCGAAGGCGGCUCUCUGGACUGUAACUGACACUGAGGCACGAAAGCGUGGGGAGCAAAC
rnacentral:rRNA from 1 species